GUGCUAUCUUCAGCAGCAGAUACACUAAAAUUGAAAUGAUACAGAAAUUAGCAUGGCCCUUGCACAAGGAUGACAUGCAAAUUCAUGAAGUGUUCCAUAUUUGG
rfam:Canis lupus familiaris chromosome 15, whole genome shotgun sequence.